GAUUUAGCAGGUAAGUCUGACUUCUCACCUGAAUGCACCUGAAAAUAAACCUUGACUUCUGACUGUUGCAAGAAAGCUACAUUUUAAGUGCGGUACAUAUCAAGCAUAAAAUGAAAGAGAUGACUUAAGAGGAGAAAAAUCACAGUAGGAUUCCUAGAACGGGAAGACCUCAGAUCUUGGAUCUGGCUGCUCUUGGACAGGGAAGACCUUGAAUCUUAGGUUUCUUUUCUCCUGGUCAUGGAAGAUGUCAAAGCUUGGGACUGGUUGCUCGGGUUUGAGAGAUGCAGAUCAACCUUUAUGGCCAGGCUGUGAACCGGCUUCUCCAACGUCUUGAGACCGAGCCAGAUCAGGUUUGAGAGUGGUAGCUAGACCAUCCCAUCAAUCUAUCUUCUGUUGUUGCAGUAAAGACCAAGUCUGUUUAAGGAAUUAUAGGAAGACAUGUUAGUUUUGUCCCUUGUCACUCAUACAUCUUCUGCAUUUUCAUCAUUAUAUUGUAGUUUUACCUGAAGUCAAAGCUUGGUUUACAGGACACUAAGAACCAUUGUAUGUUCUUGCAGAUUGUUGGCUGAGCUUACACCCCUUCAGAAAAUUCGAAAGAAUGAGGUCUUCCACUCAACAUAUACACCCAACUUUUCUUUUUCUUUUUUGCUUUUCAGUUUCUCAUGUUCUACCAUAAAGCACCAAGUGUCCAUAUAUGUAUUGAAUUUUAACUUCACUCUUUUUAUUUGUUAUGAAAUUUUGCUCAUGCCCUUCACCGAACCUUCCUUUUUAGGAAAUUUUGCAAGUGGAGAUUAGAAGGAUUAUUCUAAACUGGUGGAUGAAGCUAUGUGUUCUCUUAGUUUAGUGGACUUUUAUAUGUUUGCAUAGUUUUUGUUCUUCAAAAUGAAGCUUGGAAUAUUUUAGAAUUUUUUAGCGAACUUAAGUUUCAUGUAUGAAGGAUUGUCAUUGGAAAUAGAUACAUUUUUGUUGUAGAAGUUUUAUGUCAGACUUACUAUCUUGUAAACUAAGUUUACGUAUGUUCGAACUUAAACCUGGAUGGCUGAUUCAACAAUUUCUUCUUUGUCGUUGUGAACCAACCUUUGCGUGCGUAAUUCAACAUGUUUUUUUGGUCAUUUUAUAGUUAAUCAAACGGACAAAUAAACACUAGCAUAGAGUAGAGGAUUCGGCCAUCACACACAUCUCAUGCAUCAGAUCAAAUUCACUAGUAACUCACAAGUUCUCUCAUACAAAUUUAACUACUAUCUCAAUUUCCAGCGAAGGUUAACAGUAACAAGAGGAGAGAUGGUAACAAGAGAAGAGAUAGAUUCAGAUAUUAGUUCCUAGUCAAUUCAAGUUGUAGAUGUAGAAGCUGUAGGUGAUGAAGAAGAACAACCGUGGAGAGCUUGAGUUGCAGAAGAUCUGAGGAUGGGGUUGAGGUGUUGCAGAAGAAUAGUAGCAGAGGAGCUUCAGGGAUGCACUGCAUCACAGAUACGCUAGAAAAAAGAGCAGCGGGG
rnacentral:lncRNA from 1 species